rnacentral:rRNA from 1 species
AGAGGUUGAUUCUGGCUCAGGACGAACGCUGGCGGCGCGCCUAACACAUGCAAGUCGAACGAGCGAGAGAGAGCUUGCUUUCUCGAGCGAGUGGCGAACGGGUGAGUAACGCGUGAGGAACCUGCCUCAAAGAGGGGGACAACAGUUGGAAACGACUGCUAAUACCGCAUAAGCCCACGGUGCCGCAUGGCACAGAGGGAAAAGGAGCAAUCCGCUUUGAGAUGGCCUCGCGUCCGAUUAGCUAGUUGGUGAGGUAACGGCCCACCAAGGCGACGAUCGGUAGCCGGACUGAGAGGUUGAACGGCCACAUUGGGACUGAGACACGGCCCAGACUCCUACGGGAGGCAGCAGUGGGGAAUAUUGCACAAUGGGGGAAACCCUGAUGCAGCGACGCCGCGUGGAGGAAGAAGGUCUUCGGAUUGUAAACUCCUGUUGUUGGGGAAGAUAAUGACGGUACCCAACAAGGGAGUGACGGCUAACUACGUGCCAGCAGCCGCGGUAAAACGUAGGUCACGAGCGUUGUCCGGAAUUACUGGGUGUAAAGGGAGCGCAGGCGGGAAGACAAGUUGGAAGUGAAAUCUAUGGGCUCAACCCAUAAACUGCUUUCAAAACUGUUUUUCUUGAGUAGUGCAGAGGUAGGCGGAAUUCCCGGUGUAGCGGUGGAAUGCGUAGAUAUCGGGAGGAACACCAGUGGCGAAGGCGGCCUACUGGGCACCAACUGACGCUGAGGCUCGAAAGUGUGGGUAGCAAACAGGAUUAGAUACCCUGGUAGUCCACACCGUAAACGAUGAUUACUAGGUGUUGGAGGAUUGACCCCUUCAGUGCCGCAGUUAACACAAUAAGUAAUCCACCUGGGGAGUACGACCGCAAGGUUGAAACUCAAAGGAAUUGACGGGGGCCCGCACAAGCAGUGGAGUAUGUGGUUUAAUUCGACGCAACGCGAAGAACCUUACCAAGUCUUGACAUCCCUUGACAGGCAUAGAAAUAUGUUUUCUCUUCGGAGCAAGGAGACAGGUGGUGCAUGGUUGUCGUCAGCUCGUGUCGUGAGAUGUUGGGUUAAGUCCCGCAACGAGCGCAACCCUUAUGGUCAGUUACUACGUAAGAGGACUCUGGCCAGACUGCCGUUGACAAAACGGAGGAAGGUGGGGAGGACGUCAAAUCAUCAUGCCCUUUAUGACUUGGGCUACACACGUACUACAAUGGCGUUAAACAAAGAGAAGCAAGACCGCGAGGUGGAGCAAAACUCAGAAACAACGUCCCAGUUCGGACUGCAGGCUGCAACUCGCCUGCACGAAGUCGGAAUUGCUAGUAAUCGUGGAUCAGCAUGCCACGGUGAAUA